UACGAAGGGGGCUAGCGUUGCUCGGAAUCACUGGGCGUAAAGCGCACGUAGGCGGACUCUUAAGUCAGGGGUGAAAUCCUGGAGCUCAACUCCAGAACUGCCUUUGAUACUGAGAGCCUUGAGUCCGGAAGAGGUAAGUGGAACUGCGAGUGUAGAGGUGAAAUUCGUAGAUAUUCGCAAGAACACCAGUGGCGAAGGCGGCUUACUGGUCCGGUACUGACGCUGAGGUGCGAAAGCGUGGGGAGCAACAGGG
rnacentral:rRNA from 1 species